rnacentral:rRNA from 1 species
GGGAGGCAGCAGUGGGGAAUUUUGGACAAUGGGCGAAAGCCUGAUCCAGCAAUGCCGCGUGAGUGAAGAAGGCCUUCGGGUUGUAAAGCUCUUUUGUCAGGGAAGAAACGGUGGGAGCUAAUAUCUCUUGCUAAUGACGGUACCUGAAGAAUAAGCACCGGCUAACUACGUGCCAGCAGCCGCGGUAAUACGUAGGGUGCAAGCGUUAAUCGGAAUUACUGGGCGUAAAGCGUGCGCAGGCGGUUUUGUAAGUCU